AUGGCUUUAGUUUAAGUAGAAUGUCUGGUUUUGGUCCAGAAGGUUAAAGCCAUG
rnacentral:tRNA from 1 species